UACGUAGGUGGCAAGCGUUAUCCGGAUUUAUUGGGUGUAAAGGGCGUGUAGGCGGGACUGCAAGUCAGAUGUGAAAGCCUUCGGCUUAACCGGAGUAGUGCAUUGGAAACUGGGAGACUUGAGUGCAGAAGAGGAGAGUGGAACUCCAUGUGUAGCGGUGAAAUGCGUAGAUAUAUGGAAGAACACCAGUGGCGAAAGCGGCUCUCUGGUCUGUAACUGACGCUGAGGUUCGAAAGCGUGGGUAGCAAACAGG
rnacentral:rRNA from 1 species